AGUGGGGAAUUUUGGACAAUGGGGGCAACCCUGAUCCAGCCAUUCCGCGUGAGUGAAGAAGGCCUUCGGGUUGUAAAGCUCUUUCGGCAGGAACGAAACGGUAGUUACUAAUACUAGCUGCUAAUGACGGUACCUGAAGAAGAAGCACCGGCUAACUACGUGCCAGCAGCCGCGGUAAUACGUAGGGUGCGAGCGUUAAUCGGAAUUACUGGGCGUAAAGCGUGCGCAGGCGGUUUUGUAAGACAGAUGUGAAAUCCCCGGGCUUAACCUGGGAACUGCGUUUGUGACUGCAAGACUUGAGUGCGGCAGAGGGGGGUGGAAUUCCGCGUGUAGCAGUGAAAUGCGUAGAUAUGCGGAGGAACACCGAUGGCGAAGGCAGCCCCCUGGGUCGACACUGACGCUCAUGCACGAAAGCGUGGGGAGCAAACAGGAUUAGAUACCCUGGUAGUCCACGCCCUAAACGAUGCCAACUAGGUGUUGGGGAAGGAGACUUCCUUAGUACCGUAGCUAACGCGUGAAGUUGGCCGCCUGGGGAGUACGGUCGCAAGAUUA
rnacentral:rRNA from 1 species